rnacentral:rRNA from 1 species
GACGAACGCUGGCGGCGUGCUUAACACAUGCAAGUCGAACGGUGAAGCGGGUGCUUGCACUCGUGGAUCAGUGGCGAACGGGUGAGUAACACGUGAGUAACCUGCCCUCCACUCUGGGAUAAGCGCUGGAAACGGCGUCUAAUACUGGAUACGACCGACCCUCGCAUGGGGUGUUGGUGGAAAGAUUUAUCGGUGGUGGAUGGACUCACGGCCUAUCAGCUUGUUGGUGGGGUAAUGGCCUACCAAGGCGACGACGGGUAGCCGGCCUGAGAGGGCGACCGGCCACACUGGGACUGAGACACGGCCCAGACUCCUACGGGAGGCAGCAGUGGGGAAUAUUGCACAAUGGGCGAAAGCCUGAUGCAGCGACGCCGCGUGAGGGAUGACGGCCUUCGGGUUGUAAACUCUCUUUCAGCAG